rnacentral:rRNA from 1 species
UACGUAGGGUGCGAGCGUUGUCCGGAAUUAUUGGGCGUAAAGAGCUCGUAGGCGGUGUGUCACGUCGGCCGUGAAAACCUGGGGCUUAACUCUGGGCGUGCGGUCGAUACGGGCAUCACUAGAGUUCGGCAGGGGAGACUGGAAUUCCUGGUGUAGCGGUGAAAUGCGCAGAUAUCAGGAGGAACACCGGUGGCGAAGGCGGGUCUCUGGGCCGAUACUGACGCUGAGGAGCGAAAGCAUGGGGAGCGAACAGG